GAUGAACGCUGGCGGCGUGCCUAAUACAUGCAAGUCGAGCGAACGGACGAUAAGCUUGCGUCUCUGAUGUUAGCGGCGGACGGGCGAGUAACACGUGGAUAACCUACCUAUAAGACUGGGAUAACUUCGGGAAACCGGAGCCAAUACCGGCUAAUAUUUUGUACCGCAUGGAUCAGAAGUUCAAGAGGGUCUUCCUGUCACAUUUAGAUGAUUCCGCGUUGCAUAGGCUAGUUGGUAAGGUAACGGCUUACCAAGGCAACGAUGCAUAGCCGACCUGAGAGGAUGAUCGGCCACACUGGAACUGAGACACGGUCCAGACUCCUACGGGAGGCAGCAGUAGGGAAUAUUCGACAAUGGGCGAAAGCCUGACGGAGCAACGCCGCGUGAGUGAUGAAGGCCUUCGGAUCGUAAAACUCUGUUAUUAGGGAAGAAAAUAUGUGUAAGUAACUGUGCACAUCUUGACGGUACCUAAUCAAAAAGCCACGGCUAACUACGUG
rnacentral:rRNA from 1 species